rnacentral:lncRNA from 1 species
UUCAUUAUUUUGGAUUAGCCCAACCCACUACAGACAAACAGAUUGAAGAACUAGAAGGCCUUGGUUUGGUGGUUUGUUAAAUAUUUAUUUGGAAGCGUUUCACUUACAGUCAUUCUUCUUCUACCAUGUCAAAGACAUCAGCAGUGUGGCAGCAUUUUAUAAAAAUGGAAAAAAAGUCGAAUACAAAGUUUGUAUAUCACAGCCCGACUACAAACAUGGCAUAUCACCUAAAAACGCCAGGAAGGCCGCAGAGCCCAUCUCUGUCCUCCUCGCAUCCAAAUUUAAUGUGGCGGCCUGUGAGCUCCUGGGCCCCUUCACCUGGAAAAGGUCUAAUCAUAUUUGGCUACAUCUCUGGAGAGGAUAGCGAGGACAGACGCUCAGCUGCAUUCAUUCAAAUGGAUGGAACGAUGCAACUCUCCGGUUACAUCAGCGCCUUCUGCACCCAAGGCCACUGAUCCCUCCAGUCAACAUGGUGGACAGGAGGUCGUCUGGCUCGGGCUCCACUUGGUGAUGCCUCGUCCUGCUCGGUCGUCUCCUGGUUCCACUAACAUUGCAUAACUUGUAUCAGAUCUUCUGUUGAUGUACCUUGUAAACUGUGAAUUGUUGCUCUUUUCUGUACACGCAACAUCUAUUGCAUGUCUGUCCGUCCUGGAAGAGGGAUCCCUCCUCUGUGGCUCUUCCUGAGGUUUCUUCCAUUGUUUUUUUUUUACCCUGUUAAAAGGUUUUUUUUCCAUCAACAUGUGAAGUUUUUCCUCACUCGAAUCGAGGGUCUAAGGACAGAGGAUGUUGUUCACUGUACAGAUUGUAAAGCCCACUGAGGCAAUGUGAUUGUGAUUUUGGGCUAUAUAAAUAAAAUUGAUUUGAUUUGAUUUGAUUUGUAUACACUAUUAUCACAACACUUUUGUGUGCCCGGCUUUUCCUCUUUGAGGUGAGUUAGGGAAAAGG